rnacentral:tRNA from 1 species
AGCGGUAGUUCAGUUGGUUAGAAUACCGGCCUGUCACGCCGGGGGUCGCGGGUUCGAGCCCCGUCCGCU